CGACGCGGAUAACCUGCCUCACACAGGGGAGUAACAGUUAGAAAUGACUGCUAAUACCGCAUAAGCGCACGGCAUCGCAUGAUGCAGUGUGAAAAACUCCGGUGGUGUGAGAUGGAUCCGCGUCUGAUUAGGUAGUUGGUGGGGUAACGGCCCACCAAGCCGACGAUCAGUAGCCGACCUGAGAGGGUGACCGGCCACAUUGGGACUGAGACACGGCCCAA
rnacentral:rRNA from 1 species